ensembl:lncRNA
GUGUAUAUGGGUAGAGAGGUCAUCUGUGUAUAUGGGUAGAGAGGUCAGAGGUCAGCUGUGUAUAUGGGUAGAGAGGUCAUCUGUGUAUAUGGGUAGAGAGGUCAUCUGUGUAUAUGGGUAGAGAGGUCAGCUGUGUAUAUGGGUAGAGAGGUCAGAGGUCAGCUGUGUAUAUGGGUAGAGAGGUCAGAGGUCAUCUGUGUAUAUGGGUAGAGAGGUCAGAGGUCAUCUGUGUAUAUGGGUAGAGAGGUCAGAGGUCAGCUGUGUAUAUGGGUAGAGAGGUCAGAGGUCAUCUGUGUAUAUGGGUAGAGAGGUCAGAGGUCAUCUGUGUAUAUGGGUAGAGAGGUCAUCUGUGUAUAUGGGUAGAGAGGUCAGCUGUGUAUAUGGGUAGAGAGGUCAUCUGUGUAUAUGGGUAGAGAGGUCAGAGGUCAUCUGUGUAUAUGGGUAGAGAGGUCAGCUGUGUAUAUGGGUAGAGAGGUCAUCUGUGUAUAUGGGUAGAGAGGUCAGAGGUCAUCUGUGUAUAUGGGUAGAGAGGUCAGCUGUGUAUAUGGGUAGAGAGGUCAGCUGUGUAUAUGGGUAGAGAGGUCAGAGGUCAUCUGUGUAUAUGGGUAGAAGCAGUGUUGCUGAGGUGAUGGGC